ACGAAUAGCACUGAGACGACAGAGCUCAAUACCUCAUUCCAGACUCAACCCCACAACAGUGAGGACCUGAAAUAUUAGAAAUCAAAAACUUAAUUCGAUUAUUUUCGAAAACUCUAUACGCAUAGUAAUCAUGGAUCAAUUCAAUGUCCCUCGAAAAGUGAACCGUCAUGUAUACAAAGCUUUCCACAACUUGGUUGUGCCCGGAGAGUACGUGUCGGAGGCAGAAAUAUUACAUGAGGUUCGCUACACAAUGCGCAACUUGAACCCGACCACAGACUUGCCUGGUUUCGUAAAAAAAUCGAUCUUCAACAUGAAAUUGUUGGGAAUUUUGAACGAAAAAGAUAAAAUGUACAGCUUGCGCGAUCGCUCUGAAAACCGCAAUCGAAACAACGCGGCCGGGGGCACUGUGUCUGGCUCGGCAGAAGAUGCCGAUGAUGAUGAUGUUUUUUUACCACUAACCGCAGAGGGAGUGUGUGUCGGCGAUUUGUUCAGGCCCUUUACCAUACCAACACCUAGACGGAUCGAGCCGGAAUGGGAUUCAGAGCCAAGGAUUGGAUCGGGAGAAGAGUGUUUGACGGACGACCAAAAGUAUGCGAAGAGGAAUGAACGGAAUUAGAUAAGGAUCAGGCUACAACUAUUUUAAUUUAGCCGGUUAAGUGUUAUAGUUACCAAGAGAUAUGCAAGCCAGGUGAGCUGUCAGCAUCAUUUUGCAAAAGGAUGCCCGGGAUGCUGUGGCUGUGUUGGAUGCCUGACUGCAUACGAGAUGCCCUCGGCAGAUGCCUGCUUUAAUCAUAAUAUUAAUAAUAUUAAAAGUUUUAUUUUUACAAUUUGCAAGAGUAACUAGAGCCUGCACCGACGAAGUUAUUUUUCCCAAAAUUCCCAGUGAAAUACCA